rnacentral:tRNA from 1 species
GGGAGCGUGGGGUAACCCGGCAUCCUAACCGGCUCCAGACCGGUUGAUCCCGGUUCAAAUCCGGGCGUUCCCA